rnacentral:rRNA from 1 species
UGGGGAAUAUUGCACAAUGGGGGAAACCCUGAUGCAGCGACGCCGCGUGGAGGAAGAAGGUCUUCGGAUUGUAAACUCCUGUUGUUGAGGAAGAUAAUGACGGUACUCAACAAGGAAGUGACGGCUAACUACGUGCCAGCAGCCGCGGUAAAACGUAGGGUGCAAGCGUUGUCCGGAAUUACUGGGUGUAAAGGGAGCGCAGGCGGACCGGCAAGUUGGAAGUGAAAACUAUGGGCUCAACCCAUAAAUUGCUUUCAAAACUGCUGGCCUUGAGUAGUGCAGAGGUAGGUGGAAUUCCCGGUGUAGCGGUGGAAUGCGUAGAUAUCGGGAGGAACACCAGUGGCGAAGGCGACCUACUGGGCACCAACUGACGCUGAGGCUCGAAAGCAUGGGUAGCAAACAGGAUUAGAUACCCUGGUAGUCCAUGCCGUAAACGAUGAUUACUAGGUGUUGGAGGAUUGACCCCUUCAGUGCCGCAGUUAACACAAUAAGUAAUCCACCUGGGGAGUACGACCGCAAGGUUGAAACUCAAAGGAAUUGACGGGGGCCCGCACAAGCAGUGGAGUAUGUGGUUUAAUUCGAAGCAACGCGAAGAACCUUACCAGGUCUUGACAUCCGAUGCAUAGUGCAGAGAUGCAUGAAGUACUUCGGGACAUCGAGACAGGUGGUGCAUGGUUGUCGUCAGCUCGUGUCGUGAGAUGUUGGGUUAAGUCCCGCAACGAGCGCAACCCUUAUUGCCAGUUACUACGCAAGAGGACUCUGGCGAGACUGCCGUUGACAAAACGGAGGAAGGUGGGGAUGACGUCAAAUCAUCAUGCCCUUUAUGACCUGGGCUACACACGUACUACAAUGGCGUUUAACAAAGAGAAGCAAGACCGCGAGGUGGAGCAAAACUCAAAAACAACGUCUCAGUUCAGAUUGCAGGCUGCAACUCGCCUGCAUGAAGUCGGAAUUGCUAGUAAUCGCGGAUCAGCAUGCCGCGGUGAAUACGUUCCC